rnacentral:rRNA from 1 species
AUUGAACGCUGGCGGCAUGCCUUACACAUGCAAGUCGAACGGCAGCGCGGACUUCGGUCUGGCGGCGAGUGGCGAACGGGUGAGUAAUGUAUCGGAACGUACCAUUCAGUGGGGGAUAACGCAGCGAAAGUUGCGCUAAUACCGCAUAUUCUGUGCGCAGGAAAGCAGGGGAUCGCAAGACCUUGCGCUGAUUGAGCGGCCGAUAUCAGAUUAGCUAGGUGGUGAGGUAAAGGCUCACCAAGGCGACGAUCUGUAGCGGGUCUGAGAGGAUGAUCCGCCACACUGGAACUGAGACACGGUCCAGACUCCUACGGGAGGCAGCAGUGGGGAAUUUUGGACAAUGGGCGCAAGCCUGAUCCAGCCAUGCCGCGUGAGUGAAGAAGGCCUUCGGGUUGUAAAGCUCUUUCGGCCGGGAAGAAAUCGUAUGGGUUAAUACCCUGUGCGGAUGACGGUACCGGCAUAAGAAGCACCGGCUAACUACGUGCCAGCCGCCGCCGUAAGAC